rnacentral:rRNA from 1 species
AUGAACGCUACGGGCAGGCUUAAUACAUGCAAGUCGUGGGGCAGCACGUCCCGCAGCAAUGCGGGAUGAUGGCGACCGGCAAACGGGUGCGGAAACACGUACACAACCUUCCUUCGAGUGGGGAAUAGCCCGGGGGAAACCCGGAUUAAUACCCCGUAAUAUAGUGAAGUGGCAUCAUUUUACUAUUAUAGCUCCGGCGCCUUGAAGAUGGUGUGCGACUGAUUAGGCAGUUGGCGGGGUAACGGCCCACCAAACCUACGAUCAGUAACUGGUGUGAGAGCACGACCAGUCACACGGGCACUGAGACACGGGGCCCGACUCCUACGGGAGGCAGCAGUAAGGAAUAUUGGUCAAUGGACGCAAGUCUUGAACCAGCCAUGCCGCGUGGAGGAAUGAAGGUCCUCUGGAUUGUAAACUUCUUUUAUCUGGGAAGAAAUCCAUGAAUUCUUUUGUGGUUGACGGUACCAGAUGAAUAAGCACCGGCUAACUCCGUGCCAGCAGGCCGCGGUAAUACGGAGGGUGCAAGCGUUAUCCGGAUUCACUGGGUUUAAAGGGUGCGUAGGUGGGUUGGUAAGUCAGUGGUGAAAUCUCCCAGGCUUAACUUGGAAACUGCCAUUGAUACUAUCAGUCUGAAUACCGUGGAGGGUCAGCGGAAUAUGUCAUGUAGCGGUGAAAUGCUUAGAUAUGACAUAGAACACCAAUUGCGAAGGCAGCUGGCUACACGAAUAUUGACACUGAUGCACGAAAGCGUGGGGAUCAAACAGGAUUAGAUACCCUGUAGUCCACGCCCUAAACGAGGAUACCUCGACAUACGCGAUAUACUUGUGUGUGUCUGAGCGAAAGCAUUAAGUAUCCCACCUGGGAAGUACGAUCGCAGAUUGAAACUCAAAGGAAUUGGCGGGGUGCCCGCACAAGCGGUGGAGCAUGUGGUUUAAUUCGAUGAUACGCGAGGAACCUUACCUGGGCUAGAAUGUCACGCGACAGAGGGUGAAAGCUCUUCCUUAUAGCAAUAUACGCGUGAUAAGGUGCUUGCAUGGCUGUCGUCAGCUCGUGCCGUGAGGUGUUGGGUUAAGUCCCGCACCGAGCGCAACCCUCGUCUCUAGUUACCAGCGGGUAAAGCCGGGCACUCUAGAGAGACUGCCGGUGCCAACCGGAAGGAAGGUGGGGGGACGACGUCAAGUCAUACAUGGUCCUUACGUCCAGGGCUACACACGUGCUACAAUGGCCGGUACAGAGGGCUGCCAACUCGCCGAGAGUGCGCCAAUCCUGAAAGCCGGCCUCAGUUCGGAUUGUAGUCUGCAACUCGACUACAUGAAGCUGGAAUCGCUAGUAAUCGUGGAUCAGCUACGCCACGGUGAAUACGUUCCCGGGCCCUUGUACACACCGCCCGUCACGCCAUGGAAGCUGCGAGGCGCCCGAAGCGGUGUCGGAACCCUCACGGGGCCAAGCCGCCGAAGGCGAGCGCA